rnacentral:rRNA from 1 species
CACGUAGGGCGCGAGCGUUGUCCGGAAUCAUUGGGCGUAAAGAGCGUGUAGGCGGCUCGGUAAGUCCGCUGUGAAAGUCCAGGGCUCAACCCUGGAAUGCCAGUGGAAACUGUCGAGCUAGAGUCCGGAAGAGGCGAGUGGAAUUCCUGGUGUAGCGGUGAAAUGCGCAGAUAUCAGGAGGAACACCAAUGGCGAAGGCAGCUCGCUGGGACGGUACUGACGCUGAGACGCGAAAGCGUGGGGAGCAAACAGG